rnacentral:rRNA from 1 species
UACGUAGGUCCCGAGCGUUGUCCGGAUUUAUUGGGCGUAAAGCGAGCGCAGGUGGUUUAUUAAGUCUGGUGUAAAAGGCAGUGGCUCAACCAUUGUAUGCAUUGGAAACUGGUAGACUUGAGUGCAGGAGAGGAGAGUGGAGUUCCAUGUGUAGCGGUGAAAUGCGUAGAUAUAUGGAGGAACACCGGUGGCGAAAGCGGCUCUCUGGCCUGUAACUGACACUGAGGCUCGAAAGCGUGGGGAGCAAAUAGG